UUGAACGCUGGCGGCAGGCCUAACACAUGCAAGUCGAACGGUAACAGGAAACAGCUUGCUGUUUCGCUGACGAGUGGCGGACGGGUGAGUAAUGUCUGGGAAACUGCCUGAUGGAGGGGGAUAACUACUGGAAACGGUAGCUAAUACCGCAUAACGUCGCAAGACCAAAGAGGGGGACCUUCGGGCCUCUUGCCAUCGGAUGUGCCCAGAUGGGAUUAGCUUGUUGGUGGGGUAACGGCUCACCAAGGCGACGAUCCCUAGCUGGUCUGAGAGGAUGACCAGCCACACUGGAACUGAGACACGGUCCAGACUCCUACGGGAGGCAGCAGUGGGGAAUAUUGCACAAUGGGCGCAAGCCUGAUGCAGCCAUGCCGCGUGUAUGAAGAAGGCCUUCGGGUUGUAAAGUACUUUCAGCGGGGAGGAAGGGAGUAAAGUUAAUACCUUUGCUCAUUGACGUUACCCGCAGAAGAAGCACCGGCUAACUCCGUGCCAGCAGCCGCGGUAAUACGGAGGGUGCAAGCGUUAAUCGGAAUUACUGGGCGUAAAGCGCACGCAGGCGGUUUGUUAAGUCAGAUGUGAAAUCCCCGGGCUCAACCUGGGAACUGCAUCUGAUACUGGCAAGCUUGAGUCUCGUAGAGGGGGGUAGAAUUCCAGGUGUAGCGGUGAAAUGCGUAGAGAUCUGGAGGAAUACCGGUGGCGAAGGCGGCCCCCUGGACGAAGACUGACGCUCAGGUGCGAAAGCGUGGGGAGCAAACAGGAUUAGAUACCCUGGUAGUCCACGCCGUAAACGAUGUCGACUUGGAGGUUGUGCCCUUGAGGCGUGGCUUCCGGAGCUAACGCGUUAAGUCGACCGCCUGGGGAGUACGGCCGCAAGGUUAAAACUCAAAUGAAUUGACGGGGGCCCGCACAAGCAGUGGAGUAUGUGGUUUAAUUCGAAGCAACGCGAAGAACCUUACCUGCUCUUGACAUCCCGGUGACCGGCAUGUAAUGACGCCUUUUCUUCGGAACACCGGUGACAGGUGGUGCAUGGUUGUCGUCAGCUCGUGUCGUGAGAUGUUGGGUUAAGUCCCGCAACGAGCGCAACCCUUGCUAUUAGUUGCUACGCAAGAGCACUCUAAUAGGACUGCCGUUGACAAAACGGAGGAAGGUGGGGACGACGUCAAAUCAUCAUGCCCCUUAUGACUUGGGCUACACACGUGCUACAAUGGCGUAAACAAAGUGAAGCGAGAGUGUGAGCUUAAGCAAAUCACAAAAAUAACGUCUCAGUUCGGAUUGUAGUCUGCAACUCGACUACAUGAAGCUGGAAUCGCUAGUAAUCGCGAAUCAGAAUGUCGCGGUGAAUACGUUCCCGGGUCUUGUACACACCGCCCGUCACACCAUGGGAGUCAGUAACGCCCGAAGUCAGUGACCCAACCGUAAGGAGGGAGCUGCCGAAGGUGGGACCGAUAACUGGGGUG
rnacentral:rRNA from 1 species